rnacentral:piRNA from 1 species
UUUGCCAGUAGAUUUCUUGAA